AAAUCAAGCUUCUUCUUGCUUCUAAAAGCUUUGAUUGUUUAGCCGAAGUCCAUAUGAGUCUUUGUCUUUGUAUCUUCGAACAAGGAAACACUUCUUAGGCUUUUAAGAUAAGAUUGCAGUUUAAGUACUUAUACUCAAUCAUACACAUGACAUCAAGUUAUAUUCGACUCCAAAACUCUAACCAAGCUUCUUCUUGCUUCUCAAAGCUUUGAUGGUCUAGCUGAAGUCCAUAUGAGUCUUUAUCUUUGUAUCUUCUAACAAGGAAACACUACUUAGGCCUUUAGGAUAAGGUUGCGGUUUAAGUUCUUAUACUCAAUCAUACACAUGACAUCAAGUCAUAUUCGAGUCCAAAAC
rnacentral:sRNA from 1 species